rnacentral:rRNA from 1 species
UACGGGGGGGGCAAGCGUUGUUCGGAAUUACUGGGCGUAAAGGGCCCGUAGGCGGCCAACUAAGUCCGACGUGAAAUCCCAAGGCUUAACCUUGGAACUGCGUCGGAUACUGGAUGGCUUGAAUUCGGGAGAGGGAUGCAGAAUUCCAGGUGUAGCGGUGAAAUGCGUAGAUAUCUGGAGGAACACCGGUGGCGAAGGCGGCAUCCUGGACCAAUAUUGACGCUGAGGAGCGAAAGCCAGGGGAGCAAACGGG